AUCCGUUUGAGUUUUGGGCUCUCUUAAUAAUCAAUCAUGCUCUUUUCAGAUUGUUGAGUCUAUUCGAUAUAUGCUUUAGAUUUUUGUAUAUUGAGUUUUUGCACGAAUUUGACUGUUAAUCGAUAUGUAUUUAUACUUGGUAAAUCUAAGUAGCGGUUUACUAGGCAAUUCUUUUCCCUCACGUUGGGGGAUGGUAAUUUUUUAGUUCAGAAUAAUUGCUUUGUAAUGUUGUUGAAAA
rnacentral:misc_RNA from 1 species